UUUUUUUUGGUGCGCACACAACGGUGGAAAUGGUAGGUUACAAACAAUCAACCCGUCUUACAGGUAGAGCUAAAGCGGGCAACUUCAUGAUUAACUUUAUUUUUACUUAUUUUUAACCGUGUGCCCAACACACAAGAUAACGCCAUUUCCGUUUAGCGUCUCUCUCUCUCUACGAGCAUCAAACACCAAUGGCAACUGGUUUGCUCCGGCGAGCGAUAACUAAAGUUCCGGC
rnacentral:lncRNA from 1 species